UCGGGAAAAAAUGAAUAUUUUGAAGAUUUUUGAUUAAAUAUUUUCAUGAGUUGUUUUUGUUGCGUUAUGGCAAGUAAUCAGCCGAACCGCACAUUGUAGGUACAACGCAAGACAAUAGACCUUGUUAUAUAGUUAGUGUCAAAGUUCAAUUUUUCUGUUUGCCGAUUGAUCAAAACCGUAUCACGUAACAAUAAAACAUUUAUUAACCGGUUAGCAAUAGAAUGGGUGCAAUGCGCGUCAACCAUGAAGUUUUUACUAGAAAUACAUGCAUGCAGCAAUCUCUCGCCUAUAUUUUCGCCUUGCCACACGCAAAGU